GCCAAAUCUUUGCAUGUGUCCCGUCUUCGCGUGUGGAGAUCGCCUUCAGUUUAUUUUUGUGGUUCCGAGUAGCUAAGUAACAGUAUCCAUUGCAGUGUUUUUUGGCUUAAAUGUUUUAAUUAAUUAAGCUAUUCAUGACAAUCAUAGGUCAGACUCUCCUGGUCAUUGUGCCAAGUAUGGGACCUACACCGUGAUUGAGGACCGCAUCAACAGGGUUUUGGAUCUUCAACUUGUCCAAAGCUCAGAGGUACCAAGCAGCAACUGGUGUGAGCUGGAGGGUUUGAAGCGAACCAUAGCAUUUCUCAAGGAGCAACACUUGCAAGUUUCAGCCCUUAUUACCGACAGAAAUCGCCAGGUUGCCAAGUGGGUGCGGGAGGAGUUGUGCCCUGAAGGAACAAGUCACUUCUUUGACAUCUGGCAUGUUGGUAAAAGCAUAGGAAAAGCGCUAGAUGCUGCUGCAAAGGAGAGGGGUUGUGAGGACCUUAAGCUGUGGAGGCCAUCGAUUGUCAACCACCUAUACUGGACUGCAGCUUCCACACCUAAUGGGGAUCCAAAUGUAAUGGAGGCCAAGUGGCAAAGCAUGGUGAACCAUGUUCAGGACAUCCAUGAACAUGACAGUCCUGGAUUUCCCUCCUGUGCACAUCUCCCAUUGGAGGGAGAA